rnacentral:rRNA from 1 species
ACCCGGAGGAAGAGAAAGAAAAUUCGAUUCCCUUAGUAGCGGCGAGCGAAACGGGAAGAGCCCAAACCAACAAGCUUGCUUGUUGGGGUUGUAGGACACUCUGUACGGAGUUACAAAGGACGACAUUAGACGAAUCAUCUGGAAAGAUGAAUCAAAGAAGGUAAUAAUCCUGUAGUCGAAAAUGUUGUCUCUCUUGAGUGGAUCC